AUUGAACGCUGGCGGCAUGCCUUACACAUGCAAGUCGAACGGCAGCGGACCUUCGGGUGCCGGCGAGUGGCGAACGGGUGAGUAAUAUAUCGGAACGUACCUUUCAGUGGGGGAUAACGUAGCGAAAGUUACGCUAAUACCGCAUAUUCUGUGAGCAGGAAAGCAGGGGAUCGCAAGACCUUGCGCUGAUUGAGCGGCCGAUAUCAGAUUAGCUAGUUGGUGAGGUAAAGGCUCACCAAGGCGACGAUCUGUAGCGGGUCUGAGAGGAUGAUCCGCCACACUGGAACUGAGACACGGUCCAGACUCCUACGGGAGGCAGCAGUGGGGAAUUUUGGACAAUGGGCGCAAGCCUGAUCCAGCCAUGCCGCGUGAGUGAAGAAGGCCUGGUGUAAGAC
rnacentral:rRNA from 1 species